rnacentral:rRNA from 1 species
AACGAACGCUGGCGGCAUGCCUAACACAUGCAAGUCGAACGAGACCUUCGGGUCUAGUGGCGCACGGGUGCGUAACGCGUGGGAACCUGCCCUUAGGUUCGGAAUAACUCCCCGAAAGGGGUGCUAAUACCGGAUAAUGUCUUCGGACCAAAGAUUUAUCGCCUUUGGAUGGGCCCGCGUUGGAUUAGCUAGUUGGUAGGGUAAAAGCCUACCAAGGCGACGAUCCAUAGCUGGUCUGAGAGGAUGAUCAGCCACACUGGGACUGAGACACGGCCCAGACUCCUCCGGGAGGCAGCAGUGGGGAAUAUUGGACAAUGGGCGAAAGCCUGAUCCAGCAAUGCCGCGUGAGUGAUGAAGGCCUUAGGGUUGUAAAGCUCUUUUACCCGGGAUGAUAAUGACAGUACCGGGAGAAUAAGCUCCGGCUAACUCC